UGGUGGAGUGAUUUGUCUGGUUUAUUCCGUUAACGAACGAGACCUCAACCUACUAAAUAGUUCGGCGAACUUUUUGGUUCGUACGUGACUUCUUAGAGGGACUAUCGGUGUGUAGCCGAUGGAAGUUUGAGGCAAUAACA
rnacentral:rRNA from 1 species